rnacentral:rRNA from 1 species
UUCCGGUUGAUCCUGCCGGAGGCGACCGCUUUUGGAGUUCGAUUAAGCCAUGCGAGUCGAGAGCUUUCGGAGCUCGGCAUACUGCUCAGUAACACGUGGAUAACCUGCCCUAUUGUCUGGAAUAACCUCGGGAAACUGAGAACAAUGCCGGAUAGCCCACAAUGCCUGGAACGGUUUGUGGGUGAAGAUAGGAUGGGUCUGCGGCGUAUCAGGUCGUAGGGGGUGUAAAGGACCUCCUAGCCAUCGACGCGUACGGGUGUUGGGAGACAUAGCCCGGAGAUGGAUUCUGAGACACGAAUCCAGACCCUACGGGGUGCAGCAGGCGCGAAAACUUCACACUGCAGGAAACUGUGAUGAGGGAACUCCAAGUGCUAUCACUAUGUGGUAGCUUUUCUUAACUAUUAAUCGGUUUUGGAAUAAGGGCUGGGAAAGACCGGUGCCAGCCGCCGCGGUAAUACCGGCAGCUCAAGUGGUCGUCGCUUUUAUUGGGCCUAAAACGUCCGUAGCCUGUUUGGUAAAUCUGUGGGUAAAUCAACCAGCUUAACUGGUUGAAUUCUGCAGAGACUGCCAGACUAGGGACCGGGAGAGGUGUGGGGUACUCUAGGGGUAGGGGUAAAAUCCCGUCAUUCUUAGAGGACCACCAGUUGCGAAGGCGCCACACUGGAACGGAUCCGACGGUCAGGGACGAAGCCUAGGGGCACGAACCGGAUUAGAUACCCGGGUAGUCCUAGGUGUAAACGCUGUGAACUUGGUGUCGGGGAUCCGUAAUGGGUUCUCGGUGCCGGAGUGAAGAUGUUAAGUUCACUGCCUGGGGAGUACGGUCGCAAGGCUGAAACUUAAAGGAAUUGGCGGGGCAGCAC